GACCCGAUGGCGAGAGGUAUCGCGCCCGCGCACGCUGCUCUGCUCAAUCCAAUCGUAAGCGGAAGCUCCUGGUUCGAGUCUAGGUCGGGUCA